rnacentral:rRNA from 1 species
CCCUUAGAUGUUCUGGGCAGCACGCGCGCUACAAUGGUCUUCGCAAACGGAUGCAUUCUCGAAGGAGAAUGCCAAUCUUGGAAUCUAUGCCUUGGUCGGGACAGUUGCUUGCAAUUUUUCGACUCGAACCAGGAAUUCCUUGUAAUCGUGAUUCAUCACAUCACGAUGAAUACGUCCCUGCCCUUUGUACACACCGCCCGGCGCUCCUACCGAUCGAAGAGUUAGGUGAAUUGUUUUGAUCGAUAAGAUUUGACUAUGGUCAACUCUCGUUGUGAAAUUCUGUGAAUCUGACUGUUUAGAGGAAGGAAAAGUCGUAACA